rnacentral:rRNA from 1 species
CCCUUGACAUCCAGAGAAGUUGGCAGAGAUGCCUUCGUGCCUUCGGGAGCUCUGAGACAGGUGCUGCAUGGCUGUCGUCAGCUCGUGUUGUGAAAUGUUGGGUUAAGUCCCGUAACGAGCGCAACCCUUGUCCUUAUUUGCCAGCGAGUCAUGUCGGGAACUCUAAGGAGACUGCCGGUGACAAACCGGAGGAAGGUGGGGACGACGUCAAGUCAUCAUGGCCCUUACGGGUAGGGCUACACACGUGCUACAAUGGCCGGUACAAAGGGUUGCGAGACCGCGAGGUGGAGCGAAUCCCAGAAAGCCGGCCUCAGUCCGGAUCGAAGUCUGCAACUCGACUCCGUGAAG